GCCCGUAUAGCUCAGUGGUAGAGCAUCGCACUUGUAAAGUAGGUCGGUUGUUCGAAACAGCCUGUGGGCA
rnacentral:tRNA from 1 species